UCUCUUACAGGCAAUGGUAAAUUGAUCUCCCUGUGAAAAGCAGGGAUAACCCCAUAAGACGAGAAGACCCUGUGGAACUUUAAAAACAGCAACCAACCCUUACAUACAUCACCCCACCAGGGUUCACUUAUAUUCACAGGACAUUGGUUUGCAUUUUUUCGGUUGGGGCGACCUUGGAGCAAAACCAAACCUCCAAACAUUAGACCACAUCUCUAAACCAAGAGCAACCUCUCAACGUGCUAAAAGCUCCCAGACCCAAUAUAAUUGAUCAAUGGACCAAGCUACCCCAGGGAUAACAGCGCAAUCUCCCCCGAGAGUCCAUAUCGACAGGGAGGUUUACGACCUCGAUGUUGGAUCAGACAUCCUAGUGGCUG
rnacentral:rRNA from 1 species